CCUACGGGAGGCAGCAGUGAGGAAUAUUGGUCAAUGGCCGAGAGGCUGAACCAGCCAAGCCGCGUGCAGGAAGACGGCUCUAUGAGUUGUAAACUGCUUUUGUACGAGGGUAAACGCAGAUACGCGUAUCUGUCUGAAAGUAUCGUACGAAUAAGGAUCGGCUAACUCCGUGCCAGCAGCCGCGGUAAUAAGGAGGAUUCAAGCGUUAUCCGGAUUUAUUGGGUUUAAAGGGUGCGUAGGCGGUCGGAUAAGUUAGAGGUGAAAUCCCGAGGCUCAACUUCGGAAUUGCCUCUGAUACUGUUCGGCUAGAGAGUAGUUGCGGUAGGCGGAAUGUAUGGUGUAGCGGUGAAAUGCUUAGAGAUCAUACAGAACACCGAUUGCGAAGGCAGCUUACCAAGCUACUUCUGACGUUGAGGCACGAAAGCGUGGGGAGCAAACAGGAUUAGAUACCCCGGUAGUC
rnacentral:rRNA from 1 species